rnacentral:tRNA from 1 species
GCCUGGGUGGCUCAGUCGUUGGGCGUCUGACUUUGGCUCAGGUCAUGAUCUCGCGGUUUGUGGGUUCAAGCCCCACAUCCGGCU